rnacentral:tRNA from 2 species
GCAGAGGUAGCUCAGCCCGGUAAGGCGCGAGACUGGAAAUCUCGUGGGAGCAAUCCCUCGGGGGUUCAAAUCCCUCCCUCUGCG